AUCGAACGCUGGCGGCAGGCCUAACACAUGCAAGUCGAACGAGUGGCGGACGGGUGAGCAAUGUCUGGGAAACUGCCUGAUGGAGGGGGAUAACUACUGGAAACGGUAGAUAAUACCGCAUACCAUCGGAUGUGCCCAGAGGGGAUUAGCUAGGCGGUGGGGUAACGGCUCACCUAGGCGACGAUCCCUAGCUGGUCUGCGAGGAUGACCAGCCACACUGGAACUGAGACACGGUCCAGACUCCUACGGGAGGCAGCAGUGGGGAAGAUUGCACAAUGGGCGCAAGCCUGAUGCAGCCAUGCCGCGUGUAUGAAGAAGGCCUUCGGGUUGUAAAGUACUUUCAGCGGGGAGGCGUUACCCGCAGAAGAAGCACCGGCUAACUCCGUGCCAGCCGCCGCGGUAAUAC
rnacentral:rRNA from 1 species